AAGUGUUGGGCUAAAAGAGUUAGUUACAGAAUUAGUUAGUUGAAAUGUAAAUAAAUAAGAAAUGUAAAACUCUGUUUUGAAUCAUUAAAUCACACAAAACACACUCGUACAAACUGUCAUCUUUGACAGUUGGUUACUGUAGCCCCAACUCUCGCCCCCCUUUUCCAUUACUGUCUCUGCAGGACCAAUCGCCGGUGACCCCACUUGUGCAUAGCUAAGAAAGGAUUCCCGACUCCGGUGACUACGAGAUUUAAUAUGGUAUCAGUCGGAAACGACAUCAACCUGAGCAACAUUUCUGCAAAUUCAAACUCUAAUGGCUCUGGAAAUGCAGAACAAUUUUCGCAAGAAACCAUGUCAAGUUCAAGCUCCCACGAAGGAAAAUACAUCAAAUCAUUGAGAAGAAAAGAAAGGAGAUCGGCAAACAAGAAAAGAAAAGAAUUGAGAAAUAAAAAGUUCUCAAGAAAGUCACCUUUCUUCUUAACUUCUGGCGAUCAUCCAGGAGCUCAGAUGGUUGCUGAUAAACUGACAGGGGAGAAGAACUAUGUAGCAUGGGUAAAUUCCAUGAAGCUAUCAUUAGUCUCAAGAAAAAAGAUAGCUUUCAUCAAUGGAAAAAUCAAGAAACCAGUUGAUGAAGAGGGAGAAGAAUAUGAAGAUUGGGAGAUGGUCAAUGGACUGGUUCUCUCAUGGAUAAUCAAUGG
rnacentral:lncRNA from 1 species